rfam:Lucilia cuprina strain LS Scaffold1140, whole genome shotgun sequence.
AAACUCAAUUGUGUAUAACACACACAGGUCGGCACAUGCACCGGGGUGCUCUUAUGCGUCUAGACGCAGCUUUGGAGUCGGUGUUAUGGGAUCUGUGGAGGCAUAAC